rnacentral:rRNA from 1 species
UACGUAGGGGGCAAGCGUUAUCCGGAAUUAUUGGGCGUAAAGAGUACGUAGGUGGCAACCUAAGGGCAGGGUUUAAGGCAAUGGCUCAACCAUUGUUCGCCCUGCGAACUGGGAUGCUUGAGUGCAGGAGAGGAAAGCGGAAUUCCUAGUGUAGCGGUGAAAUGCGUAGAUAUUAGGAGGAACACCAGUGGCGAAGGCGGCUUUCUGGACUGUAACUGACACUGAGGUACGAAAGCGUGGGGAGCAAACAGG